rnacentral:pre_miRNA from 1 species
GGCGGGGGGGGGGGGUCCCUCAGCCCAGAUUGUGAGAGGGCGUAGGCCAGGCUGGGAGACCCCACUGGUGCAGG